rnacentral:rRNA from 1 species
AGCGAACGCUGGCGGCAGGCUUAACACAUGCAAGUCGAACGGGCAUCUUCGGAUGUCAGUGGCAGACGGGUGCGUAACACGUGGGAACGUACCCUUCGGUUCGGAAUAACUCAGGGAAACUUGAGCUAAUACCGGAUACGCCCUUUUGGGGAAAGGUUUACUGCCGAAGGAUCGGCCCGCGUCUGAUUAGCUUGUUGGUGGGGUAACGGCCUACCAAGGCGACGAUCAGUAGCUGGUCUGAGAGGAUGAUCAGCCACACUGGGACUGAGACACGGCCCAGCCCCCGCGGGGGGAGGGGAGGGGGAAAUAUUGAAAAGGGGGCGCAGGCGUACCCACGCCAGGCGGGGGGAGAGAGGAGGCCCUUGGGUUUGAAAGUCUGUUUUGGCGGGGACGAGAAUGACGGUACGGGAGAAAGAGGCCCCGGCUAACUCGGUG